rnacentral:lncRNA from 1 species
UAGGAUCGAUCAGCUAGUUAUAAUGUUACUGUGGUAGGUCUUGCUUUUCCAACUCCCAGGUUCCUGAAUACAAACAUAAGCAUUAAAUUAAUACUUGCUUUUAAAUCACAUAAUGCCUUCCCAACAUAAUGAUUUCCAAUUGAGCAUGAGAUAGUAAAGCUCUCUAGAUCCUUCAACUUUGGAGAGAAUUUAUUCAUCAACAUUACCG